rnacentral:lncRNA from 1 species
GUGGAAAUCUUUUGGCAUAAAUCACAAACACUGCCUCUGCUGUAGUAUGCUUACCUAAACCGUACAGUGCCUCUGAUUCUCACUGCCCUUUCUUCUCUCCUUGUUCCUCUCAUGGGCAGGAUAGAGUUGUCUGUUCAGCAUGGGGCAUUGCUCAUACAGGCAAGGGGGUGGGUCAGACGCCAUACAAAGCAGACCCAAAGCUACAUUCAGGGAUUAAAGUAAAUCCCGUGGAUUUCUCCCUCCUCCUCCCUUUCUAUGAUCUGGUAAAAUGAAGGGGCAUAAAGUAAGAGCACGCAGAGCUGGAUCAGGGGGUGUCGGUGUGUUGGCUGGAAGCAGAUGGACCUUGGAGAUUUGUUGCCAGUGGAUACAAAGAGGGAAGCACUGCAAGCUGAACAACACCUGCUGGCUUAUUUCAAGACAGGCAGUCUCAUGGGCCUGCAGGCAGCAAGUCUGUAGGACGAACUGACUUACAACUACAGGGGCAAGAAGUUUGCAUUGGUCUGCCUCUGAAAAGGACAGGGUUGGAUAUGGGACCUGUGAAGCAUCUUCUGUGACACAUGAGUUGAAGAAAAGUCCAGGAUACUGUUUGUUUGUUUGUUUGUUUGUUUAUUAAUGAGAAGCAUUAAUCUGCACCUAUGUUUGCAUGCACGUUUGCGAAAUUCUGCAAAUUAAAUAGAAAUGAAACAUUAGCUUGCCUUCGCAGCUUGUCAGUGUUAUUCUUUGUGCCUGCUGCUUUGGUAUUAUAGAUGCAACUGGAAGCCACUAGAGCUACUGCAUGGGGCUGCAGGGCUAAAAGGGGGGACUUGAGUCAUCAGAUGUAGACUCCCAUGGAGAGAGGCAGGGACCUGCUCUUUUAUCCAGAAUCCCUCAGAGAACAUUGAUGAGAUGUUGCUCCUCAAGCCCCCAGCUCCCCCCAACAAAUGACGAAUGAUCUAGGAGAAGCCAAAAGCUGGGAAGCGUGAUGUGCUCCUGGCAAAGAGGGCGAUUCUGCAGGGCCCUGCUGCC